CUACGGGAGGCUGCAGUCGGGAAACCUUUACAAUGCACGCAAGUGUGAUAAGGGAAUCCUAAGUGCUUAUUUUCGGGUAAGCUUUUGUUGAGUGUAAAAAUCUUGACGAAUAAGCGGUGGGUAAGACCGGUGCCAGCCGCCGCGGUAACACCGGCGCCGCUAGUGGCGAUCAGUUUUAUUGGGUCUAAAGCAUCUGUAGCCGAUUUGAUAAAUCUUUUGUGAAAUGGGUAAGCUUAACUUAUCCGCGGGCAAAAGACACUAUUAAGUUAGGGACCGGGAGGAGGCAGAAGUACGUUUUGGGGAGCGGUAAAAUGCAAUAAUCCUUAACGGACUACCUGUGGCGAAGGCGUCUGCCUAGAACGGGUCUGACGGUGAGAGAUGAAAGCCAGGGGCGCAAAUCGGAUUAGAUACCCCAGUAGUC
rnacentral:rRNA from 1 species